UUUUUUUUCAUCUUUAUUUAUUGGAUAGAGACAGCUAGAAAUUGAGAGGGAAACGGGUGAUAGAGAAGGACAGAGACAGAGAAACACCUGCAGCCCUGCUUCACCACUCAUGAAGCUUCCCCAUGCAGGUGGGGACCAGGGGCUCGAACCUGGAUCUUUGCGCACUGUAACAUGUGCACCCAAUCAGGUGUGCCACUACCUGGUCCCUCCUUGUUUUUUUUUUUAAUUGUUGUUUUGAUUAUUAUUGUUGUUAUUGCGGUCAUCGUUGUUAGACAGGACAGAGAGAAAUUGAGAGAGGAGGGGAAGACAGAGAGGGGAGAGAAAGAUAGACACCUGCUUCUCUGCCUAUGAAGUGAGCUGCCCCCCGAAAGUGGGGAGCCGAGGGCUCAAACCAGGAUUCUUAUGCCAGUGCUUGUGCUUCGUGCCACGUGCUCUUAACCCCCUGCACUACCACCCGACCCCCAAUACUUUUAUUUAUUUAUUUAAUUAAUUACUACAGUAUAGAGACAGAGAGAACUUGAGAAGGGAGGAGAUAGAGAGGAAGAGAGACACCUGCAGCCCUGUUUCACCACUUGUGAAGCUUUCCCCCUACAGGUGGGGACCAGGGGCUUGAACCUGGGUCCUUGCACACUGUAAUGUAUAUGCUUAACCAGGUACACCACUGCCUGGCCCCUGCCUCACAUUCUUUCUCUGAUUCAAUUAUCACAUGAACACAAGGAGACUGUCCUGUUAGUUUUCACAUUUUUGAAAAGAAGAAACCCAGAGGAAGGCUAACUAUUUAGUUUGCCCAGUGCUGCAGAGUCAGUUACUGUUGGGGCUGGAGGUCAAGGGCUAUGGGGGAAAGGCAGUCUGUCAGGGUGCACUCUGUCCCGAUGGCUCACUUGUCUCUUCCUGGUGCCCUGAGCUUCCUUCCCCCUGUCACUAGCUGCUCUGCUGAAUCAAUCAGCCAGAAACACAGGUCAGAUCUGUGACAUGUCUGCCUACAGCUGGCAGCAAGCAGCCCACUGCCUGUCUUCUGAGGGUGUUUUCAGCCUGCAGGCCUGUGUCAAACCCAAGAAGUGGUGCUGAGGGUGUUAAGGACUAAGGAGCAUCCUUGGGAAAGGAACAUUCUAGUAAAAUGAAGAGGAUGGACCAGAAGACCUCUGGAUUGGAUUUUGCCAACCAGAAGACAUAGGGCUGUGUCCCUGGAGGUGCUGACCAAGACCAACAUUGGUAGAGUGCCUGUGUGUGGGUUUCUGUGAAUACAGAAAUGAAUUGACUUCCUGCCACAGUCAAGCAGAAAAUGGGGAAAAAAAAAGGAAACAGACAGCUGACCAUGGGCAGCACAAAGGACAGCAACCUCAUGCCUGCUUUGAUGGCAUCUGCUGACAGUUCCCUGCCUGUGGCAAAGGGAAACUAAGUCAGCCACAGUGGGCUCCCUAAGAUGACAACACAAGGUCCGUGUGCAAAGACCAGUGGGACCCUAAACCAGAUACAACAAAGGUGACUCCAUGGAGAAGGGAAAACCCUUUCAAUAGAAAUAAAUAAUAGUCAUCACAAAAUGAAGAACAGAUACAUUCAACUUCCCUAAACUUAAGACUGGGAGAAAGUCUUUGUCAAGCAAGUGUCACACAAAAGACUUGCAUCCAGAUAAAGGACUUUCACAACUCAAUAGUCAAGAGGCUAUUUACUUAAAAGAUGGAAAAGUGUGGUCCGGGAGGUG